AUAUUCUAGUUUCUCUUCAGAUCGCGUAAAUCUUUCGCCUUUUACUAAAGAUUUCCGUGGAGAGGAACAACUGUGAGUCUUAAACUAAUUUUUUGUAGGCCUUGCUAUUUUAGCAGGGCU